AACCGGAACGGACCCAACCGAGUAGAGGAGCUGGGAAUAAGCGAAAAAACAACAACAAAACAUUACAAACAAUUUUGCCGACUGAGGGUCUAGGGGCGCCGGCUGGUAGAGGUGGCGCACGGAACGGCUCCCCAGUACUGACCCAACAAACAAAGAGGUUUAAAUUCGUUUCGCUCGCGUACUCAUUGCGAGAGACGAUUGGGUUGCUCCCGCCGUUCCCCACGGGACUGUUCCCGAUAUGCUCGCUCCUGGUUCGGUUGUUGCUGGUUUUUUGCUGUUUUCAUUUUGGAGAAUGUUUACCAACAGACCUCACACGCGCUUAGCUUCUUCUAAAUUCACAGCGCGGCCAUGAAGCGGAAUGCACGCAGUCACGUUUGCACCGAAAUCGAGUCGCGCUCAAAAUAGUACCGGCGAAUGAAUCACAUUGCAAACCGAAAACGAGAGAUCAGUUUGCAAUUUCUGUGAUCAAAGGUAAUUAGCAGGUUUCACAAAUAAAGCGAUUAUGGGUUAAUACCCAUGGAAACUUUGGCAAUCACCGCAAACACUAACCCACGUACCGUGAACACAACAUUUAUGAGGAAGGUCAAAACCCAGACGGUUUUUAUGCUUUAAAAACACAUAAAACAUAAAUCGACCAUGGAACUAUAUUCCGACGCAGUUGCAAGCUGUAACAUAUUUUUUCUGUAGCAAGUAGUUGAAAG